CUCUGCCGAGCGGUGGAGGCUGUGUGCUGUUUUUCAAUCGCCCAAACAGGACGAGACCAGCUGUCCAAUUGCUGACAAGAAUAUCAAAGGGUAGGAAUGGGAAUGUAUCCAAUCAGCGUCGACGUUGUUUCAGAACGUUUCAGAAGCAUGAUGGGCGAUGGAGCUACCGCCAAAGGAUUAGUUGGUGUUCGGUAGAACUCGGCAGAGUCGUUUUUGGUCGUGACGCAGAUGUAACAUGGACGCCGCCGGUGACUACAACCAGCAUGGAUACCAGAUCUCAGCAGCCUCUGAAUUCAGUUCGGUCUCUUCUCCAGUAUCCGUUCGAGAGGAGAACUAUGGUGGAAAAACUUAAUGUCAAAGAGCUUGGACCAGAUCAGCCCGACGUAAAGAUAAGCCAGCAGGAGAAGGAGAGAGGUAAACUGUACACACUAGGCUUCUCCCGAAAUUGGUACACAGGAAGCAGUGGCUAGCUGGAUGCAAUCACGCUAAUGCGUUAUUUUGCUUUCCGUGUUUGUUAUUCAAAACGGCUGGGACAGAUAAGGCAUGGAUGAGUCAGGAGUUACAGACAUGAAACAUUUUUCUGAGAAGGUGAAGAAACACGAGUCAUCCCGGGCACACAUGGACAACAACACGGUGAAGCUAGCCAUGCUAGGCAGCAGAGCUAACGUUGCCAUGCAGGGAACAACAGCAGCUGGGUGCAGAGGUUUUUCACACCAUCCUGAGCCAUGCAAAAGAAGAUUCUUGUCACCACACCCAUGACCACAGCCGAAUCAGAAAGGUGCCUUUCUACUUUAAAGAGGAUUAAGACUUUCCUUGAGGAACACCAUGACACAGGAUGGGCUGAAUGCUCUUGCCAUGCUCUCCAUGGAAAAACAAGCUUGUCACAAACAUUCCUGACUUCAAUAAAAAGGUCAUCGAGAGCUUUGCCACUCAGAAGGACAGAAGGGCAAAAUUUCUCUACAAAUGAGGUAUCACACACACACACACACACACACACACACACACACACAUGCAUCCACUUGAUCUUUGUAUAAAGUUGACCUUGGCACAACACUCCAGAAAUAUUUAACAGUGUAAAUUUCUGGCAUUUUGUCUAAGUAGUGUUUACUACCAUUACUGUAACAGUGACCUGCUCAUAAUGUUUGGUGUUCACUCAAAUGUUGAAAUUAAACAAAAUGUUUUUGUUA